AUUGAACGCUGGCGGCAGGCCUAACACAUGCAAGUCGAGCGGAGCGGCGGACGGGGGAGUAAGGCCUAGGAAUCGGCAAGGGAGUGGGGGAUAACGUCAGGAAACGGGCGCUAAUACCGCAUACUAUCAGAUGAGACUAGGCCGGAUUAGCUAGAUGGUGGGGGAAAGGCACACCAAGGCGACGAUCCGUAACUGGUCUGAGAGGAUGAGCAGUCACACUGGAACUGAGACACGGUCCAGACUCCUACGGGAGUCAGCAGUGGGGAAUAUUGCACAAUGGGCGAAAGCCUGAUCCAGCCAUGCCGCGUGUGUGAAGAAGGUCUUCGGAUUGUAAAGCACUUUAAGUUGGGAGGCGUUACCCGCAGAAGAAGCACCGGCUAACUCCGUGCCAGCAGCCGCGGUAAUUC
rnacentral:rRNA from 1 species